GUGGGGAAUAUUGGGCAAUGGGCGCAAGCCUGACCCAGCAACGCCGCGUGAAGGAAGAAGGCUUUCGGGUUGUAAACUUCUUUUACCAGGGACGAAACAAAUGACGGUACCUGGUGAAUAAGCCACGGCUAACUACGUGCCAGCAGCCGCGGUAAUACGUAGGUGGCGAGCGUUAUCCGGAUUUACUGGGUGUAAAGGGCGUGUAGGCGGGAGUGCAAGUCAGAUGUGAAAAUUAUGGGCUCAACCCAUAACCUGCAUUUGAAACUGUUCUUCUUGAGUGAUGGAGAGGCAGGCGGAAUUCCGUGUGUAGCGGUGAAAUGCGUAGAUAUACGGAGGAACACCAGUGGCGAAGGCGGCCUGCUGGACAUUAACUGACGCUGAGGCGCGAAAGCGUGGGGAGCAAACAGGAUUAGAUACCCGGGUAGUCC
rnacentral:rRNA from 1 species